GACGAACGCUGGCGGCGUGCCUAAUACAUGCAAGUCGAGCGGACUAUUCGUUCGGGAUAGGUUAGCGGCGGACGGGUGAGUAACACGUAGGCAACCUGCCUGUAAGAUCGGGAUAACUACCGGAAACGGUAGCUAAGACCGGAUAGCUGGUUUCUCCGCAUGGGGGAAUCAUGAAACACGGGGCAACCUGUGGCUUACGGAUGGGCCUGCGGCGCAUUAGCUAGUUGGUGGGGUAACGGCCCACCAAGGCGACGAUGCGUAGCCGACCUGAGAGGGUGAUCGGCCACACUGGGACUGAGACACGGCCCAGACUCCUACGGGAGGCAGCAGUAGGGAAUCUUCCGCAAUGGGCGCAAGCCUGACGGAGCAACGCCGCGUGAGUGAUGAAGGUUUUCGGAUCGUAAAGCUCUGUUGCCAAGGAAGAACGCCUCGGAGAGUAACUGCUCUGAGGGUGACGGUACUUGAGAAGAAAGCCCCGGCUAACUACGUGCCAGCAGCCGCGGUAAUACGUAGGGGGCAAGCGUUGUCCGGAAUUAUUGGGCGUAAAGCGCGCGCAGGCGGUCUUUUAAGUUUGGUGUUUAAGCCCGGGGCUCAACCCCGGUUCGCACUGAAAACUGGGAGACUUGAGUGCAGGAGAGGAAAGCGGAAUUCCACGUGUAGCGGUGAAAUGCGUAGAGAUGUGGAGGAACACCAGUGGCGAAGGCGGCUUUCUGGACUGUAACUGACGCU
rnacentral:rRNA from 1 species